rnacentral:rRNA from 1 species
ACACGACUACAUUAGAUACCCGGUAGUCCAGGGUGUAAACGAUACUCGCUAGGUGUCGGCCACGGUGCGACCGUUGUCGGUGCCGUAGGGAAGCCGUGAAGCGAGCCACCUGGGAAGUACGGCCGCAAGGCUGAAACUUAAAGGAAUCGGCGGGGGAGCACAACAACGGGUGGAGCUUGCGGUUUAAUUGGAUUCAACGCCGGAAAUCUUACCGGGACCGACAGCAACAUGAAGGCCAAGCUGAAGACUUUGCCGGAUUAGCUG